rnacentral:rRNA from 1 species
AUUGAACGCUGGCGGCAUGCCUUACACAUGCAAGUCGAACGGUAACAGGUCUUCGGAUGCUGACGAGUGGCGAACGGGUGAGUAAUACAUCGGAACGUGCCCGAUCGUGGGGGAUAACGAGGCGAAAGCUUUGCUAAUACCGCAUACGAUCUACGGAUGAAAGCGGGGGAUCUUCGGACCUCGCGCGGACGGAGCGGCCGAUGGCAGAUUAGGUAGUUGGUGGGAUAAAAGCUUACCAAGCCGACGAUCUGUAGCUGGUCCGAGAGGAUGAUCAGCCACACUGGGACUGAGACACGGCCCAGACUCCUACGGGAGGCAGCAGUGGGGAAUUUUGGACAAUGGGCGAAAGCCUGAUCCAGCCAUGCCGCGUGCAGGAUGAAGGCCUUCGGGUUGUAAACUGCUUUUGUACGGAACGAAAAGCCUCUUUCUAAUAAAGAGAGGUCAUGACGGUACCGUAAGAAUAAGCACCGGCUAACUACGUG